rnacentral:rRNA from 1 species
UGCGAACGCUGGCGGCGUGCUUAACACAUGCAAGUCGAGGGAGAACGGCGGGCUUCGGGCCUUCCUAGUAAACCGGCGCACGGGGUGAGUAACACGUAGGUAACCUACCUUCGAGACUGGGAUAACCCAGUCGAAAGGAUGAGCUAAUACCAGAUAUGACCACGGGAGUCUCGGCUUCUGCGGUGAAAGAUGGCCUCUGCUUGCAAGCUAUCACUCAAAGAUGGGCCNGCGCGCCAUUAGCUAGUUGGU